CUACACUCUAAAAACUCCUGGGUUAUUUCUUCAACCCAUAUUCUGGGUUAUUUGUGUUGGGUUAAAAUUAUGGGUUAUUUUUUCAGAGAGUAACCAUUUUCUGGGUUAUAGGGCUAAUAUUGUGACCCAAUUCCUGGGUUGUUUGGGUUUCUGGGUUAUUUUUCAAAGAUUAACCCAUGUUCUGGGUUAACGCCCCGCCCCCCGCUGUUCUGGAAUUUUCUCACAACAGUCGAUUGAAAUAACUGUCACUUCACGGAGUUCGCGGCGCGCUCGAUCCGUUUUGGCCUGGCUUCUUCGUUGUGUAUUCAAGGUCUGUUUAAAUGGACAGCUUUGUCACUGAUAAGCUAACUGAGUGGCGGCUGUUUGAGCUGACAGAGACAUUUUUGAGGCCAUCUACAGGGUUGAGAAGAAGACUAUCCGUCAUUCCACUGAAGAGUCCCUGACAGCGUUCAUACACCAAAUGUCUGUUGGAACAAAUAUGCUGGAAUACAGUGGCGGCUCGUAACUGCUCAUCCGAAGAUGCGCUAAUUCAAAAUAAGUGUUCAGAUUGUCAUGUGUGUGGUUCCCUUUUCCAAAAAAUGUGUCCUGCGUGUCGAGAGAUCCUGUGUGCAUCACGUGUUUUGUCAAAAUAAGUGCCUGCUGCACAUGCGUCAAAACCGUUUAUGAUACAAUAGACGCUCAUGUUCCUAAAAUACACGGCAGACACUUCCUUAACAGUAAACUCUUAUUA